rnacentral:rRNA from 1 species
UACGGGGGGUGCGAGCGUUGUCCGGAAUCACUGGGCGUAAAGGGCGCGUAGGUGGCCUGGUAAGUCUGUGGUGAAAGCCCGGAGCUCAACUCCGGGUCUGCCGCGGAUACUGCGAGGCUUGAGUACUGUAGAGGGGGGUAGAAUGCCGGGUGUAGCGGUGGAAUGCGUAGAGAUCCGGCAGAAGACCGGUGGCGAAGGCGGCCCCCUGGGCAGUAACUGACACUGAGGCGCGACAGCGUGGGGAGCAAACAGG